AAUUUGUCCCACUCUGCCCAAACCCCAAAGGGAUCAUUGGUUUUGUAUUUUCUUGCAUUGUGUAGUUGCUUUGUACGUACACAAACAAUGAAUUCUUUAUUGUUUUCUUGACAAUGAUUGGCUCAUUAUAUUAUACCAAACCAAAGCAAUGUUCUCUGAGAAGAGGCUUUCACAGGGUUCUUUAUAAUCAUUCUCAUUCAAUAUUCCAAUACCCCUUUGGUGAACAAUCAUAAGGUCCUACUUAAAUAUCUCUUUGCCUUUUCAUCUUUUCUCUUAACUAAACUCUUUGACUGCUUCAGCUUGCAGCAGACCUUCAAACAUGGAGUCACAGUGCGCAAUCAAGAAAGAUGCUACUGAACUAAUAGGUAAUACCCCAAUGGUUUAUCUGAAUAACAUAGUGGAGGGGUGUGUGGCCCGCAUUGCUGCUAAGUUAGAAUCCAUGCAACCCUGCUUCAGUAUCAAAGAUAGGACAGCAUUUAGCAUGAUCAAAGAUGCUGAGGAAAAAGGUCUCAUUACCCCGGGAAAGAGUGUUCUUGUGGAGGCUACGAGUGGGAACACUGGCAUUGGAAUGGCAUUCAUAGCAACUUUGAAGGGCUACAAGGUAAUAGUGGCAAUGCCAGCUUCGGUGAGUCUGGAGAGAAAAAUUGUGCUUCUAGCCUUCGGAGCUGAGGUGCAUCUCACAGACCCUGCCAAAGGAACCGAUGAAGUUCUUAGGAAGGCAGAGGAGAUAGUGAAUAACACCCCCGGCAGUUACAUGCUCCGCCAGAUUGAUAAUCCUGCCAAUCCAAAAGUUCAUUAUGAGAGUACUGGGCCUGAGAUAUGGAGAGACUCCGGAGGGAAAGUUGAUGCUUUGGUUGCAGGGGUAGGAACAGGGGGCACAAUAACGGGCGCUGGCAGAUUUCUCAAGGAGAGAAACCCCAAUGUCAAGUUGUACGGCGUAGAACCAUUUGAAAGUCCAGUUCUUAGUGGAGGAUCGCCAGGUGAUCACCUAAUCCAAGGGAUUGGUAAUGGUAUCAUUCCGAAUGUACUGGAUGUUAAUCUCCUAGAUGAAGUCAUCCAGAUAUCAAGUGUAGAAGCAAUAGAAACUGCUAAGCUGCUUGCUUUAAAAGAAGGUUUGUUGAUGGGAAUUUCAUCGGGUGCCGCAGCAGCCGCUGCCAUAAAAUUGGGGAAGAGACCUGAAAAUGCCGGAAAACUCAUCGUUAAUUCAAGCCAACGAGGAAACCGUGUUCAUGGACUCUGAGUAGCCCAAAAAACUUCUUGAUAACCGCUGCAUCUUUAGAACGAUUGGUCUUUAUUGGUCCAAUUCCAUCCGUAAGGACUUGAGCUGGUUAGUGUAUUAAGGUGGUAUUUCCCAGUUAUGGAGAGCGUUAUUUGUCAUCGCCAUUGUUCGAAUCCAUUAGGCAUGAAGCUGAACAAAUGACAUUUCAUUAAGAUAAUCUCCUAAGUAAUUCUGCUCUCUGAAUUUUAUGGUAUCAGAGUAUUUUUGUUUUUUGUCUAAUGAUCCUCUGUUCAUGAGGAUCCACCACUUGUUUGACUUCAAUAAUGCAAAAGAAUUUUUUAAGAGAAGCCAA